CAGGGCUGGGGAAGCUGGGUGGGGCAGGGGUGUGGCGGCGAAGGGCUGGGAGGAGCAGAGUCAGGGUCAGACAGUGUGGAGGAGGGAGCCAGCCCUGAGAAAUGGCAACGGAGAAGGAGAAGAUAGAGCCCAGAUGAGAUACUUUGAGGAAACAGAAUCUGCAGAGCUCAGAAAGAAUUGGCUGUGGAAGCAAAGUAAAUGGGAGAUAUCCGAGGGUCCUUUUCUGCCAGGGAGACGUCAGGUGGAGAACCCUUCACUGUGUCCCCAAGCCUCAUCUGUCACCUUCUCCAGCUCCAUCUGGGCUUCCGGAGAGAGGGCUGCAUGAUCGAAACAGUGCAGGACACUCAGAGCCAAGUGCCCACAGCCACACCAGGAAGCAAGACCACAGCUUGUUCGACUCUCGAGAAGUCAUCGGGAAAGCGGCCCUGGAAGUCAGACGCCGUAUUGAUUUCUGAGACCGGAUCUUCCGCUUCCUUAGCUGGGAUUGUGGCAAAGAAGUGGUUCCCUCUAAGACCCAGCUGGGUGAAUGUGGUUCAGUGGUACCUGGUGACAAUUCGAAGUGUGCCUGUCCAAUCUCCCAUCUGUGCCCAUCACCCCUGAUGUCCCUGCGGCGUGGACACCGAGCUGACCAGGCCGGAAGCCUCACGAACUGAUGAGAUACCAAAUACUUUCAGUCACCUUGGAAGGAAAUCACUUAAAAGACUGCAACUGUUGGGACGCCUGGGUGGCUCAAUGGUUGAGCGUCUGCCUUUGGCUCAUGUCGUGAUUCCAGGGUCCUGAGAUCAAGUCCCGAAUCAGACUCCCCACAGGGAGCCUGCUUAUGUCUCUGCCUCUCUCUGUGUCUCUCAUGAAUAAAUACAUAANAAUAAAUAAAUAAAUAAAUAAA
rnacentral:lncRNA from 1 species